rnacentral:rRNA from 1 species
UACAGAGGGUGCAAGCGUUGUCCGGAAUUAUUGGGCGUAAAGAGCUCGUAGGCGGUUUGUCGCGUCUGCUGUGAAAACCUAAGGCUCAACCUUGGGCUUGCAGUGGGUACGGGCAGACUAGAGUGCGGUAGGGGUGACUGGAAUUCCUGGUGUAGCGGUGGAAUGCGCAGAUAUCAGGAGGAACACCGAUGGCGAAGGCAGGUCACUGGGCCGCAACUGACGCUGAGGAGCGAAAGCAUGGGGAGCGAACAGG